GGGACAGAGUGCAAAUUCUUCUCCCGCAGGUCGCCGGAAGUCCGUCCAUAGUCAGGCCGGAGGAGACAGGAGAAGAGGAAAGGACACACGCGCAGAAGCGAGAGGAAGAGCGAGAGGAAACGGGAGUCGCUGUACGUGAGAGGUUACUCUACUGGUUUACUGUACGGUACGGUACCGGGAAUAUUCCCCAUGAAUCGAUAGCGCAGCUUUCCUGACUUAGAGUGGAAAUGGACAUUUUUUACAUGGACUUUUCUCACUUUGAGGACUGUGCGUGUGUAGCGGGAGACGCGGCCCGCUCUCUCGGCACGUGGUCGGCGCAGCCUAGCGAUGCGCUUACCGAUCGGAACGGGGCCGACGGGUCGGACGAGGGCGUCGGCGCAGCGUCGCAACGAUAAUUUGUGCGUCCGCGGCGCCGUCGAGCCGAGAGACGAGUCCAAAUGCGGCUCGAUAGGAAUUACCCGGAAGUCCCCAUUUAUCGUACUUUGGCGCAUUCAGGGUGUGGCGCAACGCGGAGAGACGGCGGUUCUCAGAACAACGUUGAGUGCGACUCCAGAGCGCCAAGGAACCGCAGCCAAAGGAACCCAAAGGCAUAAGAGGAGGAUGAGCGCCUUUUGGAGCUAGAGCCAUCGCCUCCAUAACUCAGCAGCUGACGAGAAAAAUCCAGCCGACUUCAUCUUCCGGCGACCAUCGUUCAUUUCCAUAAUUAGGAGGGGAAGGUAAACGGUGUUCGGUAUGGGGAAUGCCUCCGUUUUACACUGCUGCCAAGCAGCGUCUGCGAGGACUCUAACGGCCCUUUUCUUUUUCGUCCGCAGCGGAAGACUCUCCUUCCUCCUGGGAGAUGAAGGAGAAAAGUGGACCGAGGGCAGCGUGUGCUCUCAGCUGGGAGGAGGGAGAUGGGAGCCUCCGCUUUGCCUCUGCAGCUGCCUCGUGCUGCAUCCUGGGGCGGCUCACUGAGCGUCUCCACGUUUCUCAUUGGCAUAAACUUGAAAUAAACAAAAGUAGCAAAGCGCUGCA
rnacentral:lncRNA from 1 species